UUGUUAUAUUGUUUGCUAUAUGUUGUAAAUUAUAAAAAAAUAAAAACAUUAAUACAUUGUUAGCAGGUAUAAACAUGAGUGACUUUAUACACACGGGACUCAGGAAGGACAAAAGGGUUUUUCAAAGAAAUGCCUUGGAGUUGUUCUUGUAUUGAUGCUCCCCGUCACCGCCAGGGGGAACUAGUGUCUUAUCGACUAUAAAUAAACAAUAAAAGAAGAAAUGUCAACAAAUUGGCUAAACAGUCUAUGCUUUUAGUGUGAAACGUCUGCUCCCAACCGGUUUCCUUUCCUGCCCUUCAGAAACAGAUUAAAGAUGGAGGAGGAGGCCCUUCGAACCUAUUAUACCAGAAUGUUUUUAAGUGUCCGGAGCAAGCUUUCCAAAAGCUCUCCAACGUGCCUCCCACGCCAAGAGAGAGAGAAACAUAUAAAACACAGAGAGGAGGGGGGAAGCCUCGUUUCCCAGCCCAAUGCACAAGACCGGACCGAAGAAAACCCGAUUGGAUUUGGCAAGCAAGUUGUAAGAGUGGAGGAUAUGGCGAGUGAUCACAGACGGUACAGCGUCCCACUGUCGGGAAAGCCGAACCGAGAGAGAUAUGCAGGGAAGAGUGACCUAACCUCCCACAAUCUCAUGUCUCAAGGCCCCGAAAACCAGCUGGUCCCCACUCGACUUGUUUCAUUGCUAAGGCACAAGACGUUGGUGCAGGAGAUGAGACGGGCUUUGGAGGUCGAACUACACUGCCCUUCUCUCUGUACUGCAUGUGAAGAGGCCCGGGCUGCACUGGCCUUGGACGCUUUUAUCAGGAGAAAGAAGACACAACUUGAUGCCGAAGGACGUCAGCAUUACUAACCAAUGGGGCGUUGCAGUUAACCCAGUUUACCGGAUCCUUGUCAAUCAAUUAUUUUUAAUUAAUGAAAUAAUAUUUAAGGCAUUUCACUAUUGUGUUACAGGACAGCAUGUGCUUUUUGGGAGGGUUGGCGCAGAGCCUUGCCAAAACCUUUCUAUGCCACUAUGAUUUCAGGAGGGAGUACUAGGCAGUGAUAUGCAGGUCACAGCAACCUGUGGUUGCCAUGGCAACAAAUCAGGAACACACGGUUGCCCUGACAACAGAUGAGAUGAGGGGUGACCCUGACAAAAAACGCAACAGGAACUCAUUUUGCAAGACCUUGCUGUCCUUUUCAGAUAGCUGCAGACAUCACAGGCACAGAACUAAUACGAUGAGGGACGGCCUGUGCGGAGUGAAUCCGACAAAGCACUUUACUUUAUUUUAUUGGAGGCACAUAGAGAAUGUUACGUAUAGUGGGUUGUAUAUCAAAUUUGGGAUUUAAAUGUAACAUCUACAGCCUGGACUCCUGCUGGAGAUAUAAUUGUAACACUGUGGAAUGUCAACAAACGUCAUCUACAAAUCAUUUGAGUACAAAACAGCCAUUUAUUUUUUUUUGUAUUGUAUUAAAGUUUUAACACACAACACCAUUCAAAGCAUACAAGUCCCUUUUUUUUACCUCACGUUCCAGGUUGUGGUCACGUGUACGACAUAAACAUUUAAACAACAUUACAGUUAAUUCAACAUGUCCGAUAAACCUACUGAGGUCUUUCUAUGGUCACAGAAAUACGAGA